UCUUGAUGAUAAUGAAGUUUAUUAAGGUUGGUUGGUCUGUACUUAUCUCCUCCCGUGUUGUUACCAUGCUGCAGCAAUUAAAAGGUGUGGCUGAAUAUAGGCGUGGCACAAAUAUUUGACCCGCCCACUCAAUAUUGCCAUAUCACUUAUCCUUUCCCUCUCCUCUCGUCCUUGUUGUUUUGUUGGUCCUAACUCCUUUAGUCUCAGGAGGUACACUACAGAUCAUGUGACACGUGCGUCAUUAUUUGUUGGAUCAUUGGGUGCCUUGCGAGCAUCUUUUAAUUUAUGGAUGGUAUUGGUUGGUUGAAUAGUUGCUGGGAUUGGUGUAGGUAUAUUGAGUAUGAUUGUUCCUGUAUAUAAUGCUGAGGUGGCACCAAAGACUUUAAGAGGAAGGCUAGUCUCACUGAACCAGCUCUUCAUCACAGCCGGCAUAAUGGUGUUGCUGUUUCAGUCACUACUUCUGGUAACUGGAUUGGGAACUUUGUGGUUGCUAUGGUAACCCCAUUACUUCUCGGUUCUGUAC